GCGGAUUUCCAGUCCUCGCACGAAGCUCCUCGCAGCUCGCUGCCAGUGAUGCAUGAGCACUUUCAUCCAAUCACAAUGCAAAACAGUUAAUUUUAAUUAGAUGCAUGCACUCGCUGCGAGUUGCGAGGAGCUUCGUGCGAGGACUGGAAAUCCGCCU